GCGUGAGUGAAGAAGGCCUUCGGGUUGUAAAGCUCUUUUGCCUGUGACGAUGAUGACGGUAACAGGAGAAUAAGCCCCGGCUAACUUCGUGCCAGCAGCCGCGGUAAUACGAAGGGGGCAAGCGUUGUUCGGAUUUACUGGGCGUAAAGGGCGCGUAGGCGGUUUAACAAGUUAGGCGUGAAAGUCCUGGGCUUAACCUAGGGACUGCGUUUGAUACUGUUAGGCUUGAAUGUGAGAGAGGAUGGCGGAAUUCCCAGUGUAGAGGUGAAAUUCGU
rnacentral:rRNA from 1 species